GCGGAAGUGGCGGAGUUGGCAGACGCGCUAGGUUGAGGGCCUAGUCCUCGCAAGGGGGUGGGGGUUCGAAUCCCCCCUUCCGCA
rnacentral:tRNA from 4 species